ACCCGUGGAGAUGUCUGCGUCCGAGCCGUGUGUCUGCCUUGUGGCAUCGCUGUGCUGCCCUGACAGAAUGCACGCGUUGCUUCCCUGGCUCGAAGUGACCCUAACGCUUUAACCUCUUCUUCCUAGCCUGCUUACUCAUCUAAUAGCUCAAUGUUUUGGUUCUGGGAACUUGUGAGCAUUCAUGGAAGAGCUGUGUGAUCCAUAGGUUCUUGCUGCAGGGUUUAAACCCUUUCAUCCAUGCUCGUAAGAGUUUAAGCUUUUUUUUCUUUUUCCCACCAACAUUCAAGUGAUAAAAGUUAAAAAUUAAAGUGACUUGCUCUUGCACAGAACAGUCCAAAAAGCCUCCAGACCUCUGCUUGAGAAGCCAGUUGAGGGGUUAAAUAUGCUGUGUUACUGAAUGGCAGACCAUAGUCAGGUUUACUUCUCUAAACACAGUUGUGUUCUUUACCACCAUUAAGCCACACAUUGACAUGCUUGCAAAUAUCUUUAAAGGGGUUUCCCUGAAACAGGAACAUUCUGUCCAUGAUGAGCCUUUACUCCUGUUAGAUUUUGAGUGCAUCUGCCUUGGAGGAUAAAAUUGCUGAAGCAGAGGAUGUUCCAGCUUAGAACCUGAUGUAUUCCAGUCACUGGGAGUCACAAACAAUAAUAAGGAAGAAGCCUGCUUUUAACCAGUACAUCUUCAACAUCUCUAAGGACACCCUCUGCAGAUACUGCUAACCAGCAUUUCCUGCGCUCAGAACUAGAAUGCUGAACUUUUGUCACCUGUAAGGCAUAUGAAACAACAGAUUCGUGAGUCACUUUGCAGGAGAAUUUGAGAAACUGGACAAUAUUGAAAUUUACUUUAGACUGUGGAGUCACGGUCAAUUUUCACUUUAGAAUGAAAUAAAGAAGUUACAGCUAACGUUUCUGCUGUGAUA
rnacentral:lncRNA from 1 species